CCCAGGGGUGCCCGUCGCGGCUGAGAGAGUCCCUUGGAACCUGAACCGGAUUGUGCCGGCGUAGGGAGUGG
rnacentral:ncRNA from 1 species